UACGUAGGCAGCAAGCGUUGUUCGGAAUUACUGGGCGUAAAGAGUGUGUAGGCGGUGCUCUAAGUUUGGUGUGAAAUCUCCCGGCUCAACUGGGAGGGUGCGCCGAAAACUGGAAUGCUUGAACGUGGGAGAGGAAAGCGGAAUUCCUGGUGUAGCGGUGAAAUGCGUAGAUAUCAGGAGGAACACCUGCGGUGUAGACGGCUUUCUGGACCAUUGUUGACGCUUAGACACGAAAGCGUGGGUAGCAAACAGG
rnacentral:rRNA from 1 species